GACGAAGGGGGCAAGCGUUGUUCGGAAUUACUGGGCGUAAAGGGCGCGUAGGCGGCCUGAUAAGUCAGACGUGAAAGGCCUGGGCUCAACCUGGGAAUUGCGUUUGGGACUGUUGGGCUGGAGAGCGGGAGAGGAUGGUGGAAUUCCCAGUGUAGAGGUGAAAUUCGUAGAUAUUGGGAAGAACACCGGUGGCGAAGGCGGCCAUCUGGACCGUAUCUGACGCUGAGGCGCGAAAGCGUGGGGAGCAAACAGGAUUAGAUACCCUGGUAGUCCACGCUGUAAACGAUGAGUGCUGGACGUUGGUGGGCUUGCCUGCCGGUGUCGCAGCUAACGCGUUAAGCACUCCGCCUGGGGAGUACGGCCGCAAGGUUGAA
rnacentral:rRNA from 1 species